UUUCUCUAGUCUUUCGUAUGUUCGCUGUUCGUGCGUAGGGAGUGUGUGGACGAGCUCCGCGAAUCUCGUCGGCUUGCCUCCUUUGUUCGUUCGUUCUUCAAUCCCACGUAGAGAUGGUUGUCGGGGGGACCGCGGCACAGUGAAGAGGCAGGGAUCACCGGGCGUCGGUCGAGGUAUUAUUCAAGUUACCUUGUCAGAUUUCUGGGUGAAAUAAAGUGAAUAAUAUGAACCUGGUCAGAUUUCUGGGCUGGAUGAGUUAAAGAGAAUAAACAAGCAGUGAUGAUCAAAAAGGUCUGGGAGGACCGUGAAUUUAUCUCUAACAUCUCGAUAAAUUUUCAACCUAUUUUCUAGAUGGGGUAAAACUAUAUUCUGUGUUGGUGAACAGACUGUGUCAUGGGAGGGUUUGUUAUCUCCGACACCAGGCUCUCAAGUUGAUCGGCGUAAUAGAUGUGUGGGCAGCUGUUCUUAAUCGUCGGGAGGCUUCUAAGGGUGACACCACGAGUAUUCACAAGUUUAGGCUGCGUUACAUGAAUGAGCUUGUGACUUUGGACUAUAAUGUGCACAGUCCAGGCAACCUUUCUUGGGCGUUUCGGUCGAUAUCUGCUCAUUUUCCUUCCGUGUACACAUGUGUGCUAUUUAGUAAGGUCUGAUUAGGAUUUUGGUGUGAUAUUCACACGGGUGCUGCACACUGUGUUGAUAAUCGUUUUUGGUGUUACUACUCAAGUGCACCUUGUUACGUUUCAUUGUGCGAGCAUCAUCUUGUGCACAUAUUAGUUUCUGGGACUACUGUAACGGCACACAGGCUGUCUUUAAUUUAUGCUUACACUUUUAUUUGGCUUCGCUAUGUUUAAUGUUGGUGGUUUGGUAGUUUAUAUUGGUGUAAAAAGUUUUUCUUAAUUUCAUGCAUUUUGGAGGGUGCUUAGCUUGGGUUAUAUCCUA